UGUUAGUAGAGACGACACUUCUGGAUUAGAUGAAAGAAUGAGUCAUCAUUAUGUAAUUUACUACCGGAUACCACUUGGUUUCUUUCUAUCCAAUCUAUCAGGAAAGAGGUUCACAACACAGGUGUUGGCAGCAUAGGCCAAAAUGAGUUUAGCUUUUGACAUCUGUCUCUCUGAGCCAGCCUCUGACAGAAUGUCCGGGAGUCACUCAGCAGAGAGGCCACACAGAGCUGGGUCCUGCCCACUGGUGCUUCUGCAGUUCAAGGAGCUCAGGGUUUUGCAGCGCUGAAGUACACGGAGCAAGGGAGUUUCCCCUCGAGGGCUUCUGUAGCCUUCGAGCAGAAAGAGAGAUCAAGCUGAUACCAGGGUGCAGGGAACGCCUGUCCGGGAUCUCCGGUGAAACGUCAGAGAUGGCCCAGCCUCUGUUGUCAGCGUUAAAGCUGACUCCCACAGAUGACUGCUCCUGGACGAUGCCACUUUCUGGUUUCCUGCCAGGUCUUCUGGAGACAGGCAUGGGUAAGCCAUCUCUGGGUGGGAGAGGAGGGCGUGGGCCACACCGCCAGCCGGGGUGGGGAGGCCUCCUUCCCCAGCUGCAGCUGCCUCCUCCUGCCAGGCACGCUCCGUCCCACUGGGCCCCCUCAUGCAGUCUCAGCUUCUAA
ensembl:lncRNA